CCUAUCACCGGCCGAUCAGCUGUUACACACUACACACCACACACAACACAUAGCCACAAAAAUUCUUGUAAUAUAACAUUGUAGAAAACGGGAAAAAAUAAUUACAAUUUUUCUUUGUUUUGUUUUUCACUCAGAAAAAACUCAAGUAGUUUUUUUUUUUGUUGUUAAUUAAAAUUAAGUGUUGAAUACUGAAUAAGUUCUUUUUUGGAUUAUAAAUUCAUCAAUUUUUGUUUCACAGUGCCCACCAGGGCUUGCAUUGUUCAUUCAUUCUAGUCUCCUGUGAUAUUUUAUACUUAUUUGUGAAACUUCCAUUGCAAUUCAUCUCUAAGUGUUCAGAAAAAAAUGUGUGUUGUAGUAAUUGUGUGUAAAUGUAAUUUGUGUCUUAGUUUUAACAGUGGCUGGCCAGUUACAAUUAUUAAUAAAUGGAGUACAGUUUGCUAUGUAUAGUAUUGAUUGGACCGAGAAAAGUAUAAAAUUAAAAAAAAAUCUCUUGUUGGCUAUGAGUUUAAAUAACGCGAACAGAUUAAAAAUGAAUAUUACUCCACGAAAAUCGUUGAAUCUAGAAGUAUUUGGUUCGGCGUUUCGUGUGUCAUAUUCAAUUGUUUCCCUCUUGGUAAAAAAAACAUUUUCGAAAUAAGCAGAUUGGAGCAAAUAAAAAUUUAUUUUGAAGCUUUUGUAGUAUAUAUAUAUUAAUUUUUCUUUGGUUAACUUUUAACAAUAGUAAAAUUUUUUUUUUUAAAUUAAAUAUCUUUACAAAUAAUAGAACAUAUAGAACUCGAUUUUGUACUAAAUUGCGUAGCAAAAUAAAAAAUAACAAAAAAUUAUUUUCUGAGGCAGUCAAACUUACUUAAUUGUUGCAUCAAGCACUUUAAAUUAUAGUUUCACUUAUUAUACUUAAAUUGAUAUUUAAAAACUCUUAACUGUGUUUAAACGGAUUAUCAUCGAUUGCAUUAUUUAUUGUUUUAUAGUAUAUCAAUAAUAAAUUGUAUAAAUGUUAUAUUUAUACUUAAUAAAUGGCUAAGAAACCUCCUCCUUUGGGAGAGGCCGCUACGGCCCUUAAUGUGUUAAUAAAAGCGUAUUAAAAUACAUUAAUGGAAAAUGUGUCGAAAUAGUGGAACAAAUAUGCCUUUGAAUUUCAAUGGGAUUCAAAAUAAACGGAAAACAAGUGGAUCAGAUCAAAUAUGCAGGUAUCACAAUUCGUACAAUCGUCGGGACUUACAGAUUUGAUAGAAAUGAUUUAAUGUAAUUCAUCCUGAUAUGAUGUUGCCAACUGUAAUAGAUGAUAUCAUUCGAUUUGCACGUAAGCAUAUAACGAACUUGGAAAACCCUGAAAAUAUAGCGGCAAUCCAACUAUUGGACAAGUCCAAUGACCUAAGACGUUUAAAACGCAUCAAGCCAUAUGGCUUAGUUUAAUUUUAUAAAUACUUAUUUUACAAUUUAAAUAUUUACUUAAAUAUAACUUAUAUUAUAUAAUUUAUAAAUUUAUAUAUUAUAUAAACAUAACAAUUUUAAUAUAACUUCACUGGAAGUGUAGAUCCUAUUAUUAUUAUUAUAUUAUUAUAUUAUAAUCAACGUAUAUUAUAAGUAAUGUAUA